rnacentral:rRNA from 1 species
UUCUUUUAUUAUUUAAUUUAAUUAUUAUUCAUUACUUGUUUUUAUAGAAAUAACUUAUUUUUUAGUAUAUUUUAUUGAAAUAAUUAUCUCUUAUUUAUAUUUUAUUUUACUGUGAAGGUUAAUUUAUUUUUGUUAUUGAAGUAGAAUUUAUUUUUUGUACCUUUUGCAUCAGGGUUUAUCUAAUUUUAUUAAUUAUAUUAAUUUUCCCGAAAUAAUAAUAGAUAUUUUAUUUUGUUAGUUUAUGUUAUAUAAUAAUUAUUAAAAAUAAAAUAGGGGUUAUAUGCUAUUCAUUUAUUUAUAUCUGGUUUCUUAAGAAAUAAAUUUAAUUUAGGUUUACUACUUGUUAUUUUUAUAAUUUAAUUUAUACUAAUAUAGUAAAUUAAUAUUAUAAGGGAUUAGCUUUAUUAUUAAUUAUAUAACUUAUUUAUUUAAUAUUUAUAAGUAGGAUUAAUAACAUCCAUCAUUAUUAUUUCGUUAUAGUUAUUAUUUAUAUUUUAUUUUAUUUAAUAUAAGUUUAUAUUUUUAUUAAGAUUUAUUAUUAAAUAUUAAAUUAUUAGUAAUAAUGGUAUAAUUAGUAUAUAUUUUAUUUUAUAUAUAGGAACUCGGCAAUAUUAGUGUUCACCUGUUUAACAAAAACAUGUCCUAUUGCUUAUUUUAUAUUAGGUCUUGCCUGCUCAAUGAUUUAUUUAUUAAAUAGCCGCAGUAUUUUGACUGUGCAAAGGUAGCAUAAUCAUUUGUCUAUUAAUUGUUGACUUGUAUGAAUGGUUUGAUGAGAUACUAACUUUCUUUAUGUAAAAUUAUAGAAUUUAAUAUUUUAAUUAAAAAGUUAAAAUAUUUUUGUAGGACGAGAAGACCCUAUAGAAUUUUAUUUAUAAUUAUUAUUGUGUAUAUAUGGUUAUUUAUUUAUUUUAUAUUUUUAUAAAUUUUGUUGGGGUGACAGGGAAAUUUAUUUAACUUUCUUUAUUUAUAUUUUAUUUUAUUUGUAUAUUUAUGAUCCUAUUUUAAGGAUAAUAAGAUUAAAUUACCUUAGGGAUAACAGCGUAAUUUCUUUGGAGAGUUCUUAUCGAUAAUGAAGUUUGCGACCUCGAUGUUGGAUUAAAAUUAGUUUUGGGUGUAGGUGCUUAAUUACUAGGUCUGUUCGACCUUUAAAAUUUUACAUGAUCUGAGUUCAGACCGGCGUGAGCCAGGUUGGUUUCUAUCCUCAAUUUUUAUAGUAUGUCUUAGUACGAAAGGACCAGGCAUAUUACUUAUAGUAUUAAUUUAUUGAUUAUUAUUAAUAU